UUUAAUUUAUCUGCUUUUCCCUCCCAGCCCGGAAGCCUAGGACACCGGCCACAACAAACGCUAAGUCUUUUGUUCCAUCGAGGAAUGAUCUUCUCGCUCUGGAGCCGAUUCUUGCCAGUCAGAGCCGGGCAUCCCAGCCUUUCAGGCUUUCGGCCAGUUGCUCAGCUCCAAUUUUAGCCCCCGAAACACAAGGCUAUUUCUGUGAGGACAGACACGAACUCAGGAGCCAGCGGCCGAGGGCCCGUCUCAGGGGUUUCCACCCCGGUCCGCAAAGAGCCACUACAGCUGAUGUCUAAAAUAAGGUCAUGAUCUCGCGGUUCGUGGGUUCGAGUCCCGUGUCGUGCUCUGUGCUCACAGCUCGGAGCCCGGAGCCUGCUUCGGAUUCUGUGUCUCCCUCUCUCUCUGCCCCUCCCCUGCCCGCUCUCUCUCUCUC